rnacentral:rRNA from 1 species
UACGGAGGGUGCAAGCGUUGCUCGGAAUUAUUGGGCGUAAAGGGCAGGUAGGUGGUCUCAUUUGUCUGGGGUGAAAUCCUUGGGCUUAACCUGAGAAGUGCCCCAGAAACGGUGAGACUUGAGUAUCGGAGAGGCGAGUGGAAUUCCCGGUGUAGCGGUGAAAUGCGUAGAGAUCGGGAGGAACACCAGAGGCGAAGGCGGCUCGCUGGACGAUGACUGACACUCAACUGCGAAAGCGUGGGGAGCAAACAGGAUUAGAUACCCUGGUAGUCCACGCUGUAAACGAUGGGUACUAGGCUUGGUGGGUCUUGACCCCUGCUGAGCCGGCGCUAACGCAAUAAGUACCCCGCCUGGGAAGUACGGUCGCAAGACUAAA